rnacentral:snRNA from 1 species
AUCGCUUCUUGGCCUUUUGGCUAAGAGCAAGUGUAACAUCUGUUCUUACCAGUUUAAUAAUAGUAUCUAUCUGUAAUGGCUGUGUAAGGAUGGAUCAAUGCACAUAAA